GAUCCUGGCUCAGGAUGAACGCUAGCUACAGGCUUAACACAUGCAAGUCGCGGGGCAGCAUGAAGGAUGCUUGCAUCUUUUGAUGGCGACCGGCGCACGGGUGAGUAACGCGUAUCCAACCUGCCUGUUACCACGGCACAGCCCGUCGAAAGGCGGAUUAAUGCCGUAUGUGGUCCUUUGCGGGCAUCUAAUUAGGACUAAAGGUUUUGCGGUAACAGAUGGGGAUGCGUCCGAUUAG
rnacentral:rRNA from 1 species